CUGGCUGUGAGAGAAGAAGAGCUAUAGCUCCUGUCUGGCUGUGAGAGAAGAAGAGCUAUAGCUCCUGUCUGACUGUGAGAGAAGAAGAGGUGCGUGUUUUUCCACGGCUCUAGGAUCAUAACUAGGUUCAGCUCAUCCCAGUCUACAAACAGCAUCUUGCAGUGAGAAGGUGGAGAUUAAAAGCUGGACUUCUGAAGCGACUAAAGGACUCCAGGACUGUUUUGAGUCCGCUGGCUGGGUGGCCCUGACGGCCUGGAAGAGGCAGAGGAUACCGUCUCUGAGUACAAUCGUUUCUCCCCCGUCGGUACCCUCCCACCUCCCGCUGGUGACCACAUGCUACUGGUGAGGCCAAGAGGAUGCCCCCCGAGGAGAAUGUUACUCAGCGCUGUUUCAUGGCGGCCACUCUGCUCCGUGCCGUGGU